AGCGAACGCUGGCGGCAGGCCUAACACAUGCAAGUCGAACGAAGUCUUCGGACUUAGUGGCGGACGGGUGAGUAACACGUGGGAACGUGCCUUUAGGUUCGGAAUAACUCAGGGAAACUUGUGCUAAUACCGAAUGUGCCUUUCGGGGGAAAGAUUUAUCGCCUUUAGAGCGGCCCGCGUCUGAUUAGCUAGUUGGUGAGGUAAAGGCUCACCAAGGCGACGAUCAGUAGCUGGUCUGAGAGGAUGAUCAGCCACAUUGGGACUGAGACACGGCCCAAACUACUACGGGAGACAGCAGUGGGGAAUCUUGCGCAAUGAGCGAAAGCCUGACGCAGCCAUGCCGCGUGAAUGAUGAAGGUCUUAGGAUUGUAAAAUUCUUUCACCGGGGACGAUAACGACGGUACCCGGAGAAGAAGCCCCGGCUAACUUCGUGCCAGCAGCCGCCGUAACAC
rnacentral:rRNA from 1 species